UUUUUACUUCUUUCGUAAUUGGUUAUCUAAAACAAACAUUAUGUGAGAGUUCACUUGGUUCCCCUCCUCAUUCCUGCCGGCCAACUUCUAGCUUCUGCAGUCGUCAUCUGAUCAUUUGCAGCACCGGAAACAUCUUUGCUAGCGGUUGUUCUUCCCCUACCUUUCCCAGUUUCAUCUUCCAUCGACUGACUUCUCUUUGUUUUUCUCCUUCAACAGACCACCAUUAUAGAUAAUCAGGGGUUUUAAUGCCCCGCCGGUGAGCAAGGGGGCUCGCUGCCCUGAUUUGAAGAGAGCGGAGUCAAUCGCUUCGCGCGAAGUCGACAGGUGGGGCGGUUGGAGUAGGGAUUGGCGUGCAGUUGUGGAAGUCGGUCGAAAUGAAAACAUUGUCGAAUACGAGUGGUGGAUAACUACUACCGCGGCGUUUUCGAUUAUAAAUCUCCGCUCAUCAUCUUCCCUUCCUUCGAGCAAUCCCUCGCAUUGGACCUUCCCGCAUUUCCUUGCACCUUGCAUAUUGUGUCAUGAAUGGCCCUUCCCCUGCAGGUAAUUAUUUAGUACUACGUAGUAGUAUUAUAGGAGAGAUGCAGUAUGCUUUACAUUUGCG
rnacentral:sRNA from 1 species